rnacentral:rRNA from 1 species
GAGUUUGAUCGUGGCUCAGGUUGAACGCUGGCGGCAGGCCUAACACAUGCAAGUCGAGCGGAUGACGGGAGCUUGCUCCUUGAUUCAGCGGCGGACGGGUGAGUAAUGCCUAGGAAUCUGCCUGGUAGUGGGGGACAACGUUUCGAAAGGAACGCUAAUACCGCAUACGUCCUACGGGAGAAAGCAGGGGACCUUCGGGCCUUGCGCUAUCAGAUGAGCCUAGGUCGGAUUAGCUAGUUGGUGGGGUAAUGGCUCACCAAGGCGACGAUCCGUAACUGGUCUGAGAGGAUGAUCAGUCACACUGGAACUGAGACACGGUCCAGACUCCUACGGGAGGCAGCAGUGGGGAAUAUUGGACAAUGGGCGAAAGCCUGAUCCAGCCAUGCCGCGUGUGUGAAGAAGGUCUUCGGAUUGUAAAGCACUUUAAGUUGGGAGGAAGGGCAGUAAGUUAAUACCUUGCUGUUUUGACGUUACCGACAGAAUAAGCACCGGCUAACUCUGUGCCAGCCGCCGCCG